UGUGCAUAUAAUUGCUUUCUGUAUGAGAUUAAGUUCUUAUUGAGAUUAGGUUAUAGGUGGUCACAGACAGGAGGAGUGUGCUUCCAUUUAAUUUCUCAAUGUCGUUGUGCAGGCAAGGCUAUUAUUAAUGUGAUCAUUUCUUUGUUUUAAACAAACUGGACACUGAUUACAUUGUGGCAUAGGAUAGGCCCCAUAUUUACAGUGUGCUUCAUUAUAUUCUAUCUCACCGCAGAUAUUAUGUUGUUGUUGUAGCCCAUUUGAAAAGGUUGGGACAGCGCAUAGACACGUUUCGAUUACAGAGGGGACGCAGAUGGUGGAGGAGACCUACCGGCAUUCUGUCUCGAGUUUGCAGUAACAGUAGGACGUAUAUUUAUGGCAGCUGGAGUCCGUAGCCUACACGCGCUUGAAUACAAAAUACAGACAUCUACAUACUAGCAAUUCCUCAUGCCAUCCAAACACUCCUUUGUCCAGUCUUUAUUUACUCUCUCUUAUUUACUUUAAAUGGCUGCUCGCCAUUUACCAGACCUCUGCUCAAGCAACGUGACGCACUCCACAGCACGUCCUCAUUUUAGAGGAGAUCGACGCAUGGAGGAUCGGACAGCUCGAGCGUUUCAUCGCACCCUUACUGACUGACACAGAUGCUGCGAGACUGGUGCAUUGUGGACCGGCGGUCAAAUUUACACCAUUGCAAAAGUGGCCAAACCCACAGCCCAGCUGGCAGGAUGCAAGUCCCCAUGAUGACUGGGGUGCCCUGGUGUCCCUGACGGACUGGUGAAUACAGGAGUAGGGAGAGACAGAUGGGUAUGUGUCCAGUAUAUCCUCAUACUGUGGAGGGGGUUCUUGUAAAGGCAGAGGUUUAACAGCCGUUAUUGAUGGUAAUUCUGUUUUGUGUGCUCCAUUCCUUGAUAUUUUUUUAUUGACAAUUGUUGGUAUUAGUGGGGGCUGCCGUAACAAGUUAUUCAUUUAAAUGAGGUUAGUUCAAGGUAAAACAUGUCAAAUAAGUUUUAAUAAAAGGUUAUUCAGGUCCAUUAGAUACUGUUCCUCAACGCCUAUGAUUCUUGGUGAUUUUGCAGAUUAAUUUAGUAACUCUUCAUAGUAUCUAUUGGCAGUGGUCAAGGCCAAUGGUCCAGUACGUCCUUGGUAGGGUUUUGGGGACAGGUGUUCCAGGGGGUUGCGUUCCACUUUCUGCUGCUCUCUGCUCUGUGUUUAUCUCCAGAUAUAUCCUGAGGAAGAUGCUGGGAAGGUGCCAGCCCUCAGAGCCUAUUUAGAUGAGUCCACAACAUGUCCUGACUGACAAGGCUGUCAACAAAGCUGUUUUUAAACAGUUGUCAACGUGGUUCAUCCUUACCGAACUGGGACGGGAACUGGGACCUAUGGCUUUCACCCACUGAGAAAGGGGCACAACAUUUGCAUUCACUCACUGCUGAUGGGGCACAGCCACACUUCUUUACUUAUCAAUAUGUGUUAGAAGUGUAUCACCUUGCUGUGAUUAUUUGGAUAUUUUAUUUAGCCUACUUAAAAUGGGAUUAUCAUUGGCACAUUGCUGGUUCCCCUUUAACCUUACUGAAAUGAGCUAAAUCAGUCAGUGUUUCUUGGUUGUCUUAACCUCUCUGGGAGAUGUGUAGCGUCCCACCUCGCCAACAGCCAGUGACAGUGCAGGGCGCAAAAUUCAAAACAACAAAAAUCUCAAUUAAAAUUCCUCAAAGCAUACAAGUAUUUUACACCAUUUUAAAGAUAAAAUUCUCGCUAAUCCAGCCACAGUGUCGGAUUUCAAAAAUGCUUUACAGCGAGAGUACCACAAACGAUUAUGUUAGGUCACCACCAACUCACAGAAACACAGCCAUUUUUCCAGCCAAAGAGAUGAGUCACAAAAAGCACGAGAAAAUUAAUCACUAACCUUUGAGCUUCAUCAGAUGACACUCAUAGGACUUCAUGUUACACACUACAUGUAUGUUUUGUUCGAUAAAGUGCAUAUUUAUAUUUAAAAAAUCUAAUUUUACAUUGGCGCGUUACGUUCAGUAGUAAAACAUGCGGUGAUUGUGCAGAGAGCCACAUCUAUUUACAGAAAUACUCAUUAUAAAUGUUGAUGAAAAUACAAGUGUUAUACAUGGAAUUUGAGAUACUUCUGCUUAAUUCAACUGCUGUGUCAGAUUUAUUUUUAAAUGUUAAGGAAAAAGAAAACCAUGCAAUAAUCUGAGUACAGCGUUCAGACAACAAAGCAGCCAAAAAUAUAUCUGCCAUAUUGUGUAGUCAACAUUAGUCAGAAAUAGCAUUAUAAAUAUUCACUUUGAUGAUCUUCAUCAGAAUGCACACCCAGGAAUCCCAGUUCCACGAUAAAUGUUUGAUUUGUUCGAUAAUGUCCAUUUAUGUCCAAAUAGCUUCUUUUGUUAGCGCGUUUGGUAAACAAAUCCAAACGCGCGUUCCGGUCCAGCCGAACGGUGGACAAAAAGUUAUUACAUCCCGUAGAAACUUGUCAAACUAAGUAUAGAAUCAAUCUUUAGGAUGUUUUUAUCAUAAAUGUUCCAACCGGAGAACUCCUAUGUCUGUAGAAAAGCAAUAGAACGAGAGCUAACUCUCCCGUGACCGUGACUCGGAAGCCUGUGGCACUCUGGCAGACAACUGUCUCAAUCAGCUCUCAUUCACCCCCACUUCACAGUAGAAGCCUGAAACAACAUUCUAAAGACUGUUGACAUCUAGUGGAAGCCUUAGGAAGUGUAAUAUGACCCCAUUUACACUGUAUAGGUUUCCCACUUCCUGGUUGGAUUUUUAUCAGGUUUUCGCCUGCCAUAUGAGUUCUGUUAUACUCACAGACAUCAUUCAAACAGUUUUAGAAACUUCAGUGUUUUCUAUCCAAUACUACUAAUAAUAUGCAUAUAUUAGCAUCUGGGCCAGAGUAGCAGGCAGUUUACUCUGGGCACCUUAUUCAUCCAAGCUACUAAAUACUGCCCCCCCUGUCACCAAGGAGUUAAACAAAUCUAUGAAACAAGAGUAUACACCUCACACACAUGGUUAUGGGCUUUAAAGAAAUACCUGUACCAUAUUAGAAAUACAUUUGAAAUGUAUUCAAUUUUGAGUUUGCAUCCCAAUAUUACAAUUUAUAUACAUCAAAGAAGACAAACAUUACAAAACCAUAGAAACACAGAAUUUUCGGUGGGUUUUUGAAAUAAUGUUUAAUGAUAAAAUAUAUGAAUAACAUUCCACCCAUGAGUCCAUUUAGAUGGAGAUUUGGUCAUUUGACUGCAGGAAAGGGCUACUUGUAGUCUUUUAUGCCACAUUGCUCAGGACUUUAUUGGAUAGGUCCACAUUUCAUGCCAUAAGAGAGACUCCUAAGGGGUGGGGUUGUAGUGUUGUGUGUCUGACACUUUGGUGCUUUGCAUUUCCUUCCCUGAAAUACUGUUUAACUGAGGGAUGCUUUCUCUCCCCUCCUUUGUAAAAUAACUAACAUGUUCUGAUCCCCUUCCACACUGUUCAGCUGAUCAAAGCACUGACACUGCAGUUGACUAACACCUCUCUCUGAUGCCUGCUUCUCCUCAUGCUGUCAGCACUGUCCUUUCUCUUCUCUGUAACCUUGGCAACACUAACACCUUACUCACCUCCGAUCUCUGACGUCUAACAUGACUAACAAGAUUGAGUCUGCUGAGAUGGCCUUGCUGUUCAUUUCAAUGAUGUGCUCCUAACCAAGCUAGCAGGGAGCAUGCCCAUGACAAGCCUGUGCGGAUGGUUUGGUAACAUUAGUCUACCCUAACGUUACAGGAGUGUUGAGGAUGUUAGAGUUGUCAGUGUGUGUAGCUGUGUUGGGGGUUGGGGUGUAUCUCUCAAUCUUACCACCCUAGUUUUUAGUUGGUUUCCCGAGGCCUGGUUUGUCUUGUGAAUGCUGCAUGUACUGGUAACUCUGAGUAACCUUAGCUGGAGUCGUAAAGAACUAACCAACACUGGGGUAAUCCUGGUUUACUAACCUGGACUAACAGUCUAACAUUCACUAAUCAACCAAACUGAAACCCAAGCACUGGAGAAGUGCCUUGUCUGACUCUCCCUGGUUAAAACCAUCCUUAACCACUGUGUGUGUGGGUGUACAUUGUGUGUACAAUAACACUCUAAUACUUAACAGUACUAACGUCUGCUAACAGACCUAUUGUUACUAAUACUCAACUGUACUAUGGAUGAUGUUGGCUGGACUUGUAAUUUCUAACACACUCACUAACCCUUUGCUUUGUGCCCUGAGUCUGAGACAGUCCUCUCACAUUUUCCUGAAACCCUUCUCCGCCAGACACAGAUCAUCCAAAAUCAUAUACAAGAACUAUGUAUUUAUCAAUCUGUUAUAACCUUAAGUGUGAUAUGUUUCUUGAGACAUGUUACUUUUGGCCCCCUAAAGCACAAUGGUGGGUGAUUCCAGGAUCUGGGAUGGAAAGCUGGAUCAACCAAUAGAUUUAAAGAAAAAGUGCACCUCGGUCGACCACACACUUCUGCUCAGGGUGACGAUUGAUUUAAAAAAUAUAUAUAUUACAAAUCGUACAGUAACUAUGCUAAAGAAUUGUAUUUCAUUAAAGCUGAAUUGUAUUUCAUUAAAGCUGAAUUGUAUUUCAUUAAAGCUGAAGUAUUCUAUCUUAACAAAUGGCUGACAAAUGUUUGUCCCUCUGUCCAUUGUGUGGCCAACCUUCAAAAGGUGUUGCAGCUCAGUGCUUGGUUUGCAGUCUGCAUAGACACUGAUGUGUAUUAUCUUCUAAGAUAAACCAAAGGAAAUAACAACCCUUUCCUGCUUUACUACUAACUGACUGGUAUACUAACCACCCCAUAUGAGGCCUAACAAUUUGGCCAUUGCUUCAUUGCUCUUACUAACAUAUGGUAUCUUCCCACAUAAAACAAUGCUACAUUUUACUAUAGUACACUGUAGUAUCCCUGGAUCAUGUGUAGAAAUUACUAUAUCAUUUCGGUAUACAAUAACCGAAAAGACACUGGUUCGAAUCCCUGAGUCGACAAGGCGAAACACUUAAUCCUAAUUGCUUCUGUAAAUCACUCUUUAUCCAGAGCGACUUGUCUGAUAAAUGUCUAAAAUGUAGAAUAGUAUCCUGCACACUGUAGUAUCCCUUGAUCGUGUAGUGCUUACUAUUGGAUUGUGUAGUAUACUGGUGAAUACUACACUCCACAUUGUAAUAUCCCUCUAUCGUGUACUGCUAACUAUAUACUGUAGAAUACUAUACUACACACUGUAGUAUCCCUCGAUCAUGUGUAGUUCUUACUAUAUAUUUGUAUUGUAUAAUACUAGAUUAAAUAAUACAGCAUUAUCUGCAAAAAACACUAGUAAAUACUACCGCAAUGUCCACAAACGUUUUUUUAAAACUAUAGUUAUACUAGAUUAUUUUAAUUUGCAUAUGCUUCACAUUCCCAUCCCCCCCAUACAGUGGUGUAAAGUACUUAAGUAAACAUAGUUGAAAGUACUAGUGAAGUAGUUUUUGAGAUAUCUGUACUUUACUAUUUAUAUUUUUGACAACUUCUACAUCCCUAAAGAAAAUAAUGUACUUUUUACUCUUUACAUUUUCCCUGACACCCAAAAGUACUUGUUACAUUUUGAAUGCUUAGCAGGACAGGAGAAUUGUCUAUUUCACAAACUUAUCAAAAGAACAUCCCUACUGUCUCUGAUCUGGCGGACUCACUAAACACAUGCUUCAUUAGUAAAUUAUGUCUGAGGGUUGUAGUGUGCCCCUGGCGAUCUGUAAAUUAAAAAAACAAAAUUGUUCCGUCUGGAAUUUUACAAUAUUUUAAUUUUACUUUUGAUAAAGUACAUUUAAAAACAAAUACUUAGACUUUUACUCAAGUAGUAUUUUACUAGGUGACUUUCAUUUUUACUUGUCAUUUCUUUUAAGGUAUCUUUAGUUUUACUCAAGUAUGAACAUUUUGUGCUUUUCUUCAUCAUUGCCCCAUAUCUCAGUUUGUGCUAACUAUGAGUGAGAUGCCUACAUGCCACGUAUAGAGCAAAUAUUGUCUUCCCUACAGAUUAUAAAAAAAGAACAGAUGCUCUGACCUAUCUGAUCAGACUCCAGUUCUACCUACAGGUUAUGGAACAUUUGCUAUUUUUGCCCAGCAGGUUUCCUCAAGGAGAAAUCCUCCAUUUCUAUGGGCCUCUCCCGAGUCCAAACAUGAGUUUGCAAAGAUGGGUCAAGAUUGUAAGUACCAAUUGGAUGUCACGAAAUUGUGGAGAAAAAGGGGUAAAAAGUACAAACAAAUACUACAAAAAACCUCAUCGUAAACACUAGAGCAAUAUCUGUAAAAACUACAGUAAUUACUAUAGUAUAUGCUAUAGUUUUUACUAUAGUCAUAUUUUCAGUAUUUAUACUGUAGUAAGCUUUACUACAGUAUACUAGAGGUGUCCACAAACACUACAGUAAAGUCUGCAAAAACACUACAGUGAAACCUAUAGUAUACUUAUGCAAAAACUACAGUGAAUACUAUAGUAUAUUAGUCAUGUCCGCAAAAACACUACAGUGAAAACUAUAAUAUACUUCCGUAAAACACUACACUGAAUACGAUAGUAUAUAAAUAUAGUAAUACUACAGUAUUUAGAGCAUAGUAUACUAUAGUAUUUUUUUCAUAUGUGACUCUUUUAAUCCUGUCACCCACUCCACCCUGCCCCUUGGUGAGAUCAAACAGCAUCUAGUAGGCCAUGCAGUAUAUUGUCUUUACUUCCUGAGUCAUGAGGAUAGACAUCCUUGUGUCCUUGAUCAUGACAUUUUUACUAACCUCCUGAAAUGGAGUGAGAACACUAACUAUUGGGUGAUUCCACGCCAGUGGGAGCAGAAAAUAUUUUUGUUAUCAGAUUGUUCUUUCAAUUCUCACAUAGAAACUUCAUUGGGAGGAAGGAUGUUUGAAAUGCUUUUAUUUCUAUCACAAACUGUUUGAGAGAAUCAUGAUGAAAGUAGCCAUUUUAAGUAAGAAACAUAAAAAGGAAAUAGUCAAACAAAAUAACAAAACUAUAUACAAGGAGUACUGGUACCGAGUCAAUUUGCAGGGAUACGAGGAAAUUGAGGCAAUAUGUACAUGUACAGUUGAAGUCGGAAGUUUACAUACACCUUAGCCAAAUACAUUUAAACUCAGUUUUUCACAAUUGCUGACAUUUAAUCCUAGUAACAAUUCCCUGUCUUAGGUCAGUUAGGAUCACCACUUUAUUUUAAGAAUCUGAAAUGUCAGAAUAAUAGUAGAGAGAAUGAGAAUUUAUUCAAUCUUUUAUUUCUUUCAUCACAUUCCCAGUGGGUCAGAAGUUUACAUGCACUCAAUUAGUAUUUGGUAGCAUUGCCUUUAAAUUGUUUCACUUGGGUUGCCUUCCACAAGCUUCCCACAAUAAGUUGGGUGAAUUGUGGCCCAUUCCUCCUGACAGAGCUGUUGUAACCGAGUCAGGUUUGUAGGUCUCCUUGCUCGCACACGCUUUUUCAGUUCUGCCCACAAAUUUUCUAUAGGAUUGAGGUCAGGGCUUUGUGAUGGCCACUCCAAUACCUCGACUUUGUUGUCCUUAAUUAAGCAAUCUUUUUUUGUGAAGUGCACCAGUCCCUCCUGCAGCAAAGCACCCCACAACAUGAUGCUGCCACCCCCGUGCUUCACGGUUGGGACGGUGUUCUUCGGCUUGCAAGCCUCCCCCUUUUUCCUCCAAACAUUACGAUGGACAUUAUGGCCGAACAGUUCCAUUUUUGAUUCAUCAGACCAGAGGACAAAAAGUACGAUCUUUGUCCCCAUGUGCAGUUGCAAACCGUAGUCUGGCUUUUUUAUGGCGGUUUUGGAGCAGUUGCUUCUUCCUUGCUGAGCAGCCUUUCAGGUUAUGUUGAUAUAGGACUCCUUUUACUGUGGAUAUAGAUACUUUUGUACCCGUUUCCUCCAGCAUCUUCACAAGGUCCUUUGCUGUUGUUCUGGAAUUGAUUUGCACUUUUUGCACCAAAUUACAUUCAUCUCUAGGAGACAGAACGAACGCAUCUCCUUCCUGAGCGGUAUGACGGCUGCAUGGUCCCAUGGUAUUUAUACUUGCGUACUAUUGUUUGUACAGAUGAACUUAGUACCUUCAGGCAUUUGGAAAUUGCUACCAAGGAUGAACCAGACUUGUGGAGGUCUACACAUUUUUUUCCUGAGGUCUUGGCUGAUUUCUUUAGAUUUUCCCAUGUCGUCAAGCAAAGAGGCACUGAGUUUGAAGGUAGGCCUUGAAAUACAUCCACAGGUACACCUCCAAUUGACUCAAAUGAUGUCAUUUAGCCUAUCAGAAGCUUCUAAAGCCAUGACAUCAUUUUCUGGAAUUUUCCAAGCUGUUUAUAGGCAAAGUCAACUUAGUGUAUGUAAACUUCUGACCCACUGGAAUUGUGAUACAGUGAAAUGAUCUGUUAACAAUUGUUGGAAAAAAUUACUUGUCAUGCACAAAGUAGAUGUCCUAACUGACUUGCCAAAACUAUAGUUUGACAAGAAAUUUGUGGAGUGGUUGAAAAACGAGUUUUAAUGACUCCAACCUAAUUUGACUUCCGACUUCAACUGUAGGUAGGGGUUAAACCUGACUAGACUAUCAGGAUGGAUAAUAAACAGAGUAGCAGCAGCGUGUGUGACGUCAACGUGUGUGGGUGGAGUCCAGUGAGUCUGCAUAGUGCCGGUGCAAGAGAGUCGGUACAAAUAAAAAGGGGCUCAAUGCAAAUAGUCAGGGUUGACAUUUUAUUAACUGUUCAGCAGUCUUAUGGCUUAGGGGUAGGAGCUGUUCAGGAGCCUUUUGGUCCCAGACUUGGCGCUCCGGUACCACUUGCUGUGCGUUAGCAGAGAGAACAGUCUUUGACUUGGGUAGCUGGAGUCUGGCUUAUUUUUAGACAUUGUAACAAUAUACUCUUCAAACCAUGUCGAAUUUCCAGAGUGGGCUCUAUCAUACUUUUAAUGAUAUGACCCGUUUUUAUACAUAGAUAUUGACAUAGGUCACUAACCAAUUCCAGUCCUCCUUUAGGUCACCGGCAGAGUUCCCUUUGAAAUAUUUUGUCCAUUCACUGUUUUGGUGAUGCUCAAAUUGAUCAUACCUUCAGAAUUAGCGGAGAGCCCACUCUGGAAAUUUGAUUUACUUGUAGAGCAUGGUUCCCCAACUGGUGGCCCAUGGGCCGAAUUAGGCUCACUGGUGGUUUUAUUUGGCCCCCCAACUUUUGUUUAUUGGAAUUUUCAUUGUUGGACAUAAAAUACUGCAAAACACUAGGAAAUCAUCUCCAAUUGAGUUUUAAUUUAGGAAAUGUAUUCCCACACGAGACAGGUAAUCAUAUACAAAUUUAAGCAAGGUUUGAAAAUUAUUGUUUGUCAUAUUAUAUCCGUUUAGGUUUCUUACGGUAAUUUUGCAGUCUACAAAUGAUUUGUAAUUAUGUUCCGACCAUCCGCUCACGUAAAAUCAGCCCACAGCUGAAUCUAGUUGAUGAUUCCUGUUGUAAAGUAUAUGCUUCCAAACAAUGUCUUAAAAUGAAACAAAUUCUAAAAAAGUAGUUUUGAGAUAUUCAUAUUAAUAGUUGUGAAAGGUUUUAUUUCAGAACCAAGACAUACAUAUUUUACAGUACACUAUAAGAAGAAUAAUGACACCAAGAUGUCUGUCAUGUACUGUUCAAGGGGUCUUUAAAAGGGUCUAAAAUAGCUACUUUCAUCAUGAUUUUCAACAGCAACAAAAACUAAUGAUACAAAUGUAAAAACCAUGUCAAACAUCCAUCUCCCAAUGAAGUUUCUGUGAGAAUUGCCAGAACAAUCUGAGAUAUAAAAAAUAUUUUCUGCUGGCAUGGAAUCGCUCUUUUGGGACAUGAUAGCUCCCCACAAUCAAACAAACUAACUAACCUACUAAUUAUCUAACUAACUAACCCACAAAUUAACUAACCUACUAAUUAUCUAACAAACAAGCUAAAAUCAUGUGCUCAGAGUUGAGGUUUUGGUUCAACAAACCAUCACCUCACUUUGGUGUGUGUGUCCGUGUGCAUGUGUGGGCAUGCGUGUGUGUGUGUGCCUGCAUGUGUGUACAUUUAUUCUCAAACUGUGUGCAUGACGAGGUGAUUUUGUCUGAGUGUUAAUGAGUGUUUAUCUAUCAGUUUUCUGCUGAGUAACAUUAUGGCAUAGCAAUGUUGUCCUCAUCCCCUAUUUACAAGUGAUUUAGCCUAAAAAUGAGACCGCAUUUUAUGAUAACGAAACAACUGUCAAAGCUUGACUAUCAAAUUGAUGAAGCUACUGUAUGAAGCAGUUUUUCAGUAUAGCUCAGUCAUAGGAGUUAAGGAUGACCAACCUAACUAAUCAGUGACCACCAGUGUGGAAGAGGUCUUACUUCCUUGGCUUCUCUGUCCUUUAUGUACUGCCAUUACUGAAUGCUGGAUUGACAACACACAUUCCCCAUGUUCUUUUCACUGUGGAAUAAACUGUCAGACAUUUUGAAAA